rnacentral:lncRNA from 1 species
GUCCUGGGGAUCUGGAAUCCAUCCCAAGUAGAGAUAUCACUGACCUGAAACUUUUGGCCAAAGCAUCAGUGCAGAACCUAGGAAAAAAGUGUAUAUCCUUUUGGGGCUGGUUCCAGAACAGUUCCUGACAAUCCUGCCUGGGAAAACAGUGCUGAAGUGACAUUAGAUCAUUGAGAACCCAGUGAGGAGUGAGUGUCUUUGAAGGAUUGAUCUAGAUGCUCAGAGAGAAAGCUCUGCCUUCUCAAGACUUUGUCCCUUCCCACCAAGAAAGCUCUAAACAAAAGAGGAUGAACUCUGGAUUCCUGACAACCAGAUUGAAGUCUAGGAUCUCCCUUAACUCAGAUUCUUCCUGUGACCCAACAUGAAUGGAGACUGGUCUGCUAUUGUGACAAUUCUAAAGGAUAUGCAGGUUUAAGGUAAGAGAUGUGGACCACAGAGUGACUUUUUCAAGACUUAUAUAUUACUUGAUUCAGCCAUCCACAAUCAUAAAGGGCUCUGACUAAUUCUUAUCAAGAACCCAGCAAAGCCUUGAUACCUGAUAAACAUGUGUGGUCUAACUAGACCAAAUUUUAUUUUCCAGCAAAGGAAUACCUACUGAAUGUAGUUUUCAGCCUCUCAGAUCUCCUACCAUUAUUGAACCAGGUCUUGUGAUGUUAUAAACAGUCUUGCUUCUAGGUGUUGUGAUAAAAAUUAUCCAGGGGUUCUAUUGAUUAUGU